GCUGAUUUCUAAGCAUCACUCCUUGUGAGGACCAAGAAGGAAUAUUUUUGCUACUCUCACCCUGACUAAAGUGGUUCUCAAGUAAGUCUGGGGUCCAAAGCAUUGAGGAGACCCCGGGGAGAGUUGUCAGAGGGUCUCAGAGGAACCUAGCUCAGGAGGAGAGGCCGAGGCAAUCAAGAUGGUUUAUCUCUACAAAGAGAAGGCUGAGGGGAUACCUAGUGUCUUCCUUUAAAUAUCUGAAAUUGUUCUUGAGAGCGGCUGGUGAAGAUUCCACUUAAAACCUCGGGAUCAAGGACUUCUCUCAAGCAUGAGGAAGUGCUCCCUUCUCCAGAGGGAUGCAAAUGCUGGCGUGGAGUCUGCAGGGGGCCUGGCUGCUUCUGGGACAUGGGACUGCAAAGACGUCCUGCCCCUCUUCCACACUGCCACACUCUGCAUGUUACAGGGACUGGAGAGACUCCCUGCCCCUCUUCCACACUGCCACACUCUGCGUUAGAGGCUGCUGCCAUUUGGAACGGCUGAUGAUGAAGGGAUCUCACCCCAGGAUUUUCUCACAUCAGGGAUGCAGCAGCAGGAAUGGGACUGAGGGAGACAUAGAGCUCCCUAAUGCUGAAUCUCUUCCCUGUGCUGAAGAAAACUCCAGACCUCCCAGCCACUGGAACUAAAAUUGGGAUUCAUUUAUUUGAUUUGAGAGUCUUUCUCUUGGAUCAAAACAGCAUCCAGAGGUCCGGCCUUCAGAUGAAACGAUCUUCAAGCAAGCAGACACAGCUUGCGCUCCCUCAGGACUGACCAGAGGCUGUGCUUUGGGGAACUCGGACCACUGCGAAAAAUCUGAGAAGUGAUGAUCGUUCCAGGACUGAUCUGACCACCCGGGGCGUCCAGCAUGAUUGGUCGGGGUCCUGCCCGCACCCUCUCACCCCUCCACGCAGAGGCACGGUGGGAGAGGCCCCUGCCCACCCCGGAUGAGCCUGAGACUCCAGCCUGAAAUGAAGUUGCUGAAAUGAGCCCUUUCCCCAGCCGUUCAGCAGCCUAGCUGUUUUACCACUGAAAUAAAGUGUCCAAUUUAUCCUGCCAUUUUGAGGAAGCUGUUUUCAGCUGAGACUCCAGCUGGAUUUAUUUUUAAAAAAGAUUAUUCUGCAGACCAUGGCCAGAACGUGCUGAGAGGCACCCUGGGCAGUUUUCCCUCUGGCCGGCUCUUAUCCGUCCUCCCCAGCAUGGGGAGAUGAGGCUGCCUCAGGCGGCCCAGGCCAGGCAGCUGCCAGGGAGGCUGAGCAGGUCUGGGAUGUGCCAGGCAGCUCUAUGCCCAGCUCAGCUGGGAACCUGACCCGGAAAGGGCUGGAACCCAAGCCUCACCCUCUCCUGCUCUAUUCACUGUGGUCAAGGGAGGAAAGAGACCUGGCGGCUGGGCUUGCAGACAGGCUUCUUGCCCCCAUUCCUCUUCUCAGUUCUCGUGUAUGCCUGGUGGGGUGUUGACAGGCCCCACUGUGGCUGUGCUGUUUGGCAGACUGCCCUGAGUCUCCCCAGUGCCCAUCUCCCUGUAGUCCACGCUGCCCUGGCCUUCCUUGGCCUCCUGAUGGCCCCUGAGUUUACUGGAGUCAAAGGGCCAACCUGCGGACUCAGCACCCUUUCUGCUCCAGGUCUGAGGUUUCUGCUGUGAGUGGUGGCACGCGUCACACCAGUUCUUAAAUAUCUUGAAUAUGACCCUGCUGGGAGCUGCCCUUGUUCUAAGACUGGGGAUGGGGGCAGAGGAGGCAGGAAGGGGAUGGAGCUGCUUGUGGUGGAGAAUGGAGUCCCCGACCUUCUCUCGAGGCCAGCAUCAGCAGACUUCUCCUGGAAAGGGUCAGAGAGCAAAUAUUUCAGACUUUGUGGGCCAUAUGGUAUCUCUCACAACUACUAAAUGCAGGCAUUGUAGCAAACCUUCCAUAGACAGUCGCUAAAAGCGUGGGCUUGGCUCUGUUCAUUGUGGCCUUGUGUUCCCAUAACACUUUCUUUACAGACGCGGGUGGUAGGCUGGAUUUGGUCCCAGGUUCCUGCCCACACCAGCCCCAACAUGGUGCAUGCUGCAGGAAGGCCAAGGAGGGGGCCCUCCCAGUGUGACAAGUGCACAGGCUGUGAGGAGCAUGAGGAUGGCUGAUGCCGCUCUCUGGGAGUGGGAGAAACCUGCUUUUCUGCAUCCUAGCUUGUGACUUGUCACGUGCCCAUAAUGGGACACUCUGCCUGCCUCUCGCCAUGGCCCCCCGCUGGCCACCUCCUUAGAGUUCACAGUCCAGAAAUACGAGGAGCCCGUGGUGGGAGGGGUCCUCACUGCCUCUUUCUCCUGCUUUGUCUGCUUCCCACCCAUGAAACCCUCUCCCUAUUCACACCCAUUGACUGGCUUCUUUAAAUUAGAGGAAAUUUAAUUCCAUACAACAUGCAUGUAUCAGAUAUCUACCUUGUGUUAUGCAGUGAGCUGUGCAUUGGGGGUACAGCCAGGAAACAAAACUGUAGUAACAGCAGCAAGGUCAAGACAGUAGUGAAGUCACUGCUGAAGGCACAGCACUGGCUGGGGAGCUGGGGCCAAGCAGGUGGGCCUGGUUGCUAGAGGGUGGGUCUAGCCCCUUCCUGCUGAUCUUCCAGCAAACUGGGCUUCCGCUCCAUUCAGAGCAAAAUAAGGCAUCCGCACGUGGCUCAGUGUGGCCCUGGCCCCCGCUGGGGCACCCUCUGUGCUGUCCCUUACCCCGCAGAGGUGUGUCUGGUGGAGCUUUUCCACUUUCAAUGGCUUUCACACACCGUGGUGCUCUUGGGCCUGUUACUGGCCCAGCCAUGUCACCUACCAGCAAUGCAGCCUUGGAAAUGCGAAGUCAGCUCUCUAAGUCUUGGUUUCUUCACCUGCAGGUGGGGAUCAUCGUUCCUGUUUUGUAGCGUUGCUCUAGGAUGAAAUGAAGUCAUGAGUGUGGAGCUCUUAUGUGGUAUGGAGCUUUCCUGCCACGUGGCAAUCACUCAAUCUGGGGAAAUGGCCAUUGCUGUAGGCUGAACGUUGGUGUCCCCCCAAAUUCCUAUGUUAAAACUAAUGCCCAAAGUGGUGGUCUUAGAAGGUGGGGCCUUUCGGAAUGAUGAGGCAUGAGGCACAGCCCUCAUGGGUGGGAUGAGUGUCCUUAUGAAAGAGGCCUGAGAGAGCCCUCGUGCCCUUUCUACCACCUGAGGACACAGCGAGAAGACGGCUGCUUGUGAAUCGGGACGUGGGCCUGCACCAGACACUGAAUAUACCAGUGCCUUGAUCUCGGACUCCCCAGCCUCC
rnacentral:lncRNA from 10 species